rnacentral:rRNA from 1 species
UACGGGGGGGGCAAGCGUUGUUCGGAAUUACUGGGCGUAAAGGGCUCGUAGGCGGCCAACUAAGUCAGACGUGAAAUCCCCAGGCUCAACCUGGGAACUGCGUCUGAUACUGGAUGGCUUGAAUUCGGGAGAGGGAUGCAGAAUUCCAGGUGUAGCGGUGAAAUGCGUAGAUAUCUGGAGGAAUACCGGUGGCGAAGGCGGCAUCCUGGACCGACAUGGACGCUGAUGAGCGAAAGCUAGGGGAGCAAACGGG